CCCUAUGGGGUGCAGCAGGCGCGAAAACUUCACACUGCAGGAAACUGUGAUGAGGGAACUCCAAGUGCAUGCACUAUGUGUAUGCUUUUCUUAACUUUUAAUCGGUCUUGGAAUAAGGGCUGGGAAAGACCGGUGCCGGCCGCCGCGGUAAUACCGGCAGCUCAAGUGGUCGUCGCUUUUAUUGGGCCUAAAGCGUCCGUAGCCUGUUUAGUAAAUUCGUGGGUAAAUCAACCAGCUUAACUGGUUGAAUUCUGCAAAGACUGCUAGACUAGGGACCGGGAGAGGUGUGAGGUACUCUAGGGGUAGAGGUAAAAUUCUGUCAUCCUUGGAGGACCACCAGUUGCGAAGGCGUCACACUAGAACGGCUUCGACGGUCAGGGACGAAGCCUAGGGGCACGAACCGGAUUAGAUACCCGGGUAGUCCUAGGUGUAAACGCUGUGAACUUGGUGUCGGGAUUCCGUCAGGGGACCUCGGUGCCGAAGUGAAGAUGUUAAGUUCACUGCCUGGGGAGUACGGUCGCAAGGCUGAAACUUAAAGGAAUUGGCGGGGGAGCACUGCAACGGGAGGAGCGUGCGGUUUAAUUGGAUUCAACGCCGGAAAACUCACCAAAACCGACAGUUAGAUGAAAGCCAGCGUAAUGAGCUUGCCCGAUAUUCCGAGAAGGUAGUGCAUGGGCCAA
rnacentral:rRNA from 1 species